UACGUAGGGUGCAAGCGUUAAUCGGAAUUACUGGGCGUAAAGCGUGCGCAGGCGGUUAUGUAAGACAGGUGUGAAAUCCCCGGGCUUAACCUGGGAACUGCAUUUGUGACUGCAUAGCUAGAGUACGGUAGAGGGGGAUGGAAUUCCGCGUGUAGCAGUGAAAAGCGUAGAUAUGCGGAGGAACACCGAUGGCGAAGGCAAUCCCCUGGACCUGUACUGACGCUCAUGCACGAAAGCGUGGGGAGCAAACAGG
rnacentral:rRNA from 1 species